GUCUCCUCUACUAGAAGACUAACAGUUAAACUACAGUGUUCAUUCAGGAGGAGGAGGAGGAGGAGGUGGAGGAGGUGCUGCCUGAGCUGCUGUCUCCUCUACUAGACGACUAACAGUUAAACUACAGUGUUGAUUCAGGAGGAGGAGGAGGUGGAGGAGGAGGAGGAGGAGGUGCUGCCUGAGCUGCUGUCUCCUCUACUAGACGACUAACAGUUAAACUACAGUGUUGAUUCAGGAGGAGGAGGAGGAGGUGCCUGAGCGGCUGUCUCCUCUACUAGACGACUAACAGUUAAACUAGUGUUGAUUCAGGAGGAGGAGGAGGUGCUGUCCCCUCUACUAGACGACUAACAGUUAAACUACAGUGUUGAUUCAGGAGGAGGAGGAGGAGGAGGAGGUGCCUGAGCGGCUGUCUCCUCUACUAGACGACUAACAGUUAAACUAGUGUUGAUUCAGGAGGAGGAGGAGGAGGUGCUGCCUGAGCUGCUGUCUCCUCUACUAGACGACUAACAGUUAAACUACAGUGUUGAUUCAGGAGGAGGAGGAGG
rnacentral:lncRNA from 1 species